CAUCACACAAAUAAAAAAAAAAAAGUACUUAUGCCAAAAUUUAAUUUGAAAAACGUCGACGUUGCACAAAACACAUUCCUUUUACAUGGCCUUAAUUAUUACAUCACCUUUUGCGGAAUUAAAACUUACUACAUCACUACAAGAUGUACAUCAUAAAAGGAAUAAUCUACAGAAAUGCUGCACACAUCGAACCCGUUUUUCCAAAUUUAAAUUUUGUUAAAAAAAAACACCGAAAUUACAUAAGUACUUAUAUGCCAAAAUAAAUACACAAUCACAUGCUACAUAAGCAUUUUUAAAUC
rnacentral:lncRNA from 1 species